rnacentral:rRNA from 1 species
AUUGAACGCUGGCGGCAGGCUUAACACAUGCAAGUCGAGCGGGCCCUUCGGGGUCAGCGGCGGACGGGUGAGUAACGCGUGGGAACGUGCCUUCUGGUCUGGAAUAACCCUGGGAAACUAGGGCUAAUACCGGAUACGCCCUUUUGGGGAAAGGUUUACUGCCGGAAGAUCGGCCCGCGUCUGAUUAGCUAGUUGGUGGGGUAACGGCCUACCAAGGCGACGAUCAGUAGCUGGUCUGAGAGGAUGAUCAGCCACACUGGGACUGAGACACGGCCCAGACUCCUACGGGAGGUAGCAGUGGGGAAUAUUGGACAAUGGGCGCAAGCCUGAUCCAGCCAUGCCGCGUGAGUGAUGAAGGCCUUAGGGUUGUAAAGCUCUUUUAUCCGGGACGAUAAUGACGGUACCGGAGGAAUAAGCCCCGGCUAACUUCGUG